AACGAACGCUGGCGGCAGGCUUAACACAUGCAAGUCGAGCGCCCCGCAAGGGGAGCGGCAGACGGGUGAGUAACACGUGGGAACCUUCCUAGAGGUACGGAACAACUCAGGGAAACUUGAGCUAAUACCGUAUACGCUCUUGCGAGGAAAGAUUUAUCACCUUUAGACGGACCCGCGUCGGAUUAGCUAGUUGGUGGGGUAACGGCCUACCAAGGCGACGAUCCGUAGCUGAUCUGAGAGGAUGAUCAGCCACACUGGGACUGAGACACGGCCCAGACUCCUACGGGAGGCAGCAGUGGGGAAUCUUGGACAAUGGGCGCAAGCCUGAUCCAGCCAUGCCGCGUGAGUGAAGAAGGCCUUCGGGUUGUAAAGCUCUUUUGCCAGGGACGAUAAUGACGGUACCUGGAGAAUAAGCCCCGGCAAACUUCGUGCCAGCAGCCGCCGUAA
rnacentral:rRNA from 1 species